GACCCCAUAGUUCAACUGGAUAGAACAACGGUUUCCUAAACUGUAAAUCCCCGUUCAAGUCGGGGUGGGGUCACCA
rnacentral:tRNA from 1 species